rnacentral:rRNA from 1 species
UACGUAGGGUGCGAGCGUUGUCCGGAAUUAUUGGGCGUAAAGAGCUCGUAGGCGGUCUGUCGCGUCUGCUGUGAAAUCCCGAGGCUCAACCUCGGGCUUGCAGUGGGUACGGGCAGGCUAGAGUGCGGUAGGGGAGAAUGGAACUCCUGGUGUAGCGGUGGAAUGCGCAGAUAUCAGGAAGAACACCGAUGGCGAAGGCAGUUCUCUGGGCCGUAACGGACGCUGAGGAGCGAAAGCGUGGGGAGCGAACAGG